CUUCUUUUAGACUUUGUUAGAUCAUUGGUCAAUGAAGGUUAACCAGUCACAGUCACUAAUCGUUCUCAAACUCAAUGGAAGUAGUGUAAUUAACUACCCCAAUAUUUCUCUUAUAUAAUGACCAGGAAAAUCCCCAGCAAUCUUACUCAGAAGGCAGAAAUAUCUCUGAACAGAAAGGGAAAAAGAAAAACUAUAAGGGGAAAAAGGUUAAAAGAAUGUGUUAAAAAACAGCAAAAGGCUUGCAAAGUACAGGGAAUUGUCUAAGGUGUGGCACUUUAGCCACUCUUGAAUCAAGAUGGUCAUCUGAACCAAGUGAUCAACCCACAUGCAAUCAUCACUGCACUUAGGGGGUCAGAAAUUGAGGGACUUGUUAGUCCACAGCCAUUAUCAGACUCAACAUCCUACUCUCACAUGGCUACCUAAAUCAAUAAAAGGCACUUAUGCAUGAGGCAGAUGCAAAGCAUGUAAACACAUCAAAAUGGAUUCCAAAAGUAUUUGGAACAGCUGGAAGAUGGAACAGUAUGUUGUGAAAUCUCUCUUCAACCGUACAGGAAUAGUUAAUUUUCUUACUUCCAGCCAGUUUAAGGCUACUUAACCUUCGACCAUUGCUCUAAUAAUGUCUAUAAGAAGAUACCAGUCACAAAACCUCAUUCUUGCAACUAUAUUACUGUGAGGGAGUUUGAGCAUCAAAUAGAAUACUCACACUCGCUUAUUGUUAGAUUAUGAAUGGUUACAUUGUGACUAUUAUCUUAGUUUUACUUUUUCAUUCCUUUGUUCUUGUGUUUAUUAUUUUCACCAGAUUAGAUAUUCCUGUCUUUUUCACAGAUAUUCAGUUAUUUGUUUUCAUGGUUAUUUUAAUACAGAAUGGUCAGGAUUAAUGCUUCUUUUACCUAAACUUUGUCAUGAAGGGAUUGUAAACAAAUCCAUGUAGGUACCAAUUUAGUAUUGUAUAACAAAGCAGAGUAAGUUUAUAAAACAAUGUAAAUUGUUUGAUUUUACUUUGACGAUUAAAAAUAAAAUCUGUUUGGCAUUCAGUUGCAGUUUAAAAUAUUUAUUAGACACAAUGACAAAUUUUAGUUUAAUCGCUACAUUUUUAUUUAAUGUAAUUAUUCUCUUAAAUUUACGGUAACCCUAAUUCUAAAUAAAUGAUAAAUGGAAAAAUAGCAUGACUAAAACACUUUUGUAUGCACACUUUAAGGAAG